GACGUACUGCGCGAACGUUAUUCGGAAUCACUGGGCUUAAAGGGUGCGCAGGCGGCUUGUCAAGCCCGUGGUGAAAGGUCCCGGCCUAACCGGGGACGUGCUUCGGGGACUGACGAGCUUGGGCGAGCUAGGGGUCUGUGGAACUCCCGGUGUAGUGGUGAAAUGCGUAGAGAUCGGGAGGAACACCCGUGGCGAAGGCGGCCAACUGGGCCGGACCUGACGCUGAGGCGCGAAGGCGUGGGGAGCGAACGGG
rnacentral:rRNA from 1 species